UACGUAGGCAGCGAGCGUUGUUCGGAAUUACUGGGCGUAAAGAGUGUGUAGGCGGUGCCCUAAGUUCGGUGUGAAAUCUCCUGCUUAACUGGGAGGGUGCGCCGGAAACUGGAGUGCUCGAGCGUGGGAGAGGAAAGCGGAAUUCCUGGUGUAGCGGUGAAAUGCGUAGAUAUCAGGAGGAACACCUGCGGUGUAGACGGCUUUCUGGACCAUUGCUGACGCUGAGACACGAAAGCGUGGGUAGCAAACAGG
rnacentral:rRNA from 1 species